rnacentral:rRNA from 1 species
UACACCCUUUGUGACAUACCUACAACUGUUGCUUCGGCGGGUAGGGUCCCCGUGACCCUCCCGGCCUCCCGCCCCCCCGGGCGGGUCGGCGCCCGCCGGAGGAUAACCAAACUCUGAUUUAACGACGUUUCUUCUGAGUGGUACAAGCAAAUAAUCAAAACUUUUAACAACGGAUCUCUUGGUUCUGGCAUCGAUGAAGAACGCAGCGAAAUGCGAUAAGUAAUGUGAAUUGCAGAAUUCAGUGAAUCAUCGAAUCUUUGAACGCACAUUGCGCCCGCCAGCAUUCUGGCGGGCAUGCCUGUUCGAGCGUCAUUUCAACCCUCAAGCUCUGCUUGGUGUUGGGGCCCUACAGCUGAUGUAGGCCCUCAAAGGUAGUGGCGGACCCUCCCGGAGCCUCCUUUGCGUAGUAACUUUACGUCUCGCACUGGGAUCCGGAGGGACUCUUGCCGUAAAACCCCCCAAUUUUCCAAAGGUUGACCUCGGAUCAGGUAGGAAUACCCGCUGAACUUAAGCAUAUCAAAARGSCGGGAAGGAAA